rnacentral:rRNA from 1 species
UUAAAUUGAAGAGUUUGAUCAUGGCUCAGAUUGAACGCUGGCGGCAGGCCUAACACAUGCAAGUCGAACGGUAACAGGAAUCAGCUUGCUGAUUCGCUGACGAGUGGCGGACGGGUGAGUAAUGUCUGGGAAACUGCCUGAUGGAGGGGGAUAACUACUGGAAACGGUAGCUAAUACCGCAUAAUGUCGCAAGACCAAAGAGGGGGACCUUCGGGCCUCUUGCCAUCGGAUGUGCCCAGAUGGGAUUAGCUAGUAGGUGGGGUAACGGCUCACCUAGGCGACGAUCCCUAGCUGGUCUGAGAGGAUGACCAGCCACACUGGAACUGAGACACGGUCCAGACUCCUACGGGAGGCAGCAGUGGGGAAUAUUGCACAAUGGGCGCAAGCCUGAUGCAGCCAUGCCGCGUGUAUGAAGAAGGCCUUCGGGUUGUAAAGUACUUUCAGCGGGGAGGAAGGGAGUAAAGUUAAUACCUUUACUCAUUGACGUUACCCGCAGAAGAAGCACCGGCUAACUCCGUGCCAGCAGCCGCGGUAAUACGGAGGGUGCAAGCGUUAAUCGGAAUUACUGGGCGUAAAGCGCACGCAGGCGGUUUGUUAAGUCAGAUGUGAAAUCCCCGGGCUCAACCUGGGAACUGCAUCUGAUACUGGCAAGCUUGAGUCUCGUAGAGGGGGGUAGAAUUCCAGGUGUAGCGGUGAAAUGCGUAGAGAUCUGGAGGAAUACCGGUGGCGAAGGCGGCCCCCUGGACGAAGACUGACGCUCAGGUGCGAAAGCGUGGGGAGCAAACAGGAUUAGAUACCCUGGUAGUCCACGCCGUAAACGAUGUCGACUUGGAGGUUGUGCCCUUGAGGCGUGGCUUCCGGAGCUAACGCGUUAAGUCGACCGCCUGGGGAGUACGGCCGCAAGGUUAAAACUCAAAUGAAUUGACGGGGGCCCGCACAAGCGGUGGAGCAUGUGGUUUAAUUCGAUGCAACGCGAAGAACCUUACCUGGUCUUGACAUCCACGGAAGUUUUCAGAGAUGAGAAUGUGCCUUCGGGAACCGUGAGACAGGUGCUGCAUGGCUGUCGUCAGCUCGUGUUGUGAAAUGUUGGGUUAAGUCCCGCAACGAGCGCAACCCUUAUCCUUUGUUGCCAGCGGUCCGGCCGGGAACUCAAAGGAGACUGCCAGUGAUAAACUGGAGGAAGGUGGGGAUGACGUCAAGUCAUCAUGGCCCUUACGACCAGGGCUACACACGUGCUACAAUGGCGCAUACAAAGAGAAGCGACCUCGCGAGAGCAAGCGGACCUCAUAAAGUGCGUCGUAGUCCGGAUUGGAGUCUGCAACUCGACUCCAUGAAGUCGGAAUCGCUAGUAAUCGUGGAUCAGAAUGCCACGGUGAAUACGUUCCCGGGCCUUGUACACACCGCCCGUCACACCAUGGGAGUGGGUUGCAAAAGAAGUAGGUAGCUUAACCUUCGGGAGGGCGCUUACCACUUUGUGAUUCAUGACUGGGGUGAAGUCGUAACAAGGUAACCGUAGGGGAACCUGCGGUUGGAUCACCUCCUUACCUUAAAGAAGC